rnacentral:lncRNA from 1 species
UUUCCCCACUUUGUUUUUCAAAUGAUUCGUGUGUCAAAUUUCGAGUCGUGUCUUGAGAGUACAGAAUAUAUAAAGUUCGCCAGAGUCCGAAGAUUGAAGUGCUUUGACUUCGGAUUAUAGAUUGUUGAAUCCUGGGAGAUAGACGCCUAUCGAACUACAAGCACAAGAGUAGGGGCGAAAUUCUAUCUUUAGGACAUUGCAUUUAUGCAAGCCUCAAUCUCCAAGUUUGU